UAACAAAUUGUUGAUGAAGAUAUUUUGCUU
rnacentral:piRNA from 1 species